UACGUAGGGUGCGAGCGUUAAUCGGAAUUACUGGGCGUAAAGCGUGCGCAGGCGGUUUUGUAAGACAGAGGUGAAAUCCCCGGGCUCAACCUGGGAACUGCCAUUGUGACUGCAAAGCUAGAGUACGGCAGAGGGGGAUGGAAUUCCGCGUGUAGCAGUGAAAUGCGUAGAUAUGCGGAGGAACACCGAUGGCGAAGGCAAUCCCCUGGGCCGGCACUGACGCUCAUGCACGAAAGCGUGGGGAGCAAACAGG
rnacentral:rRNA from 1 species